GUCCAGCUGACGAGUCCCAAAUAGGACGAAACGCGCGUCCUGAAU
rnacentral:hammerhead_ribozyme from 1 species